UAUAAUGCUAAGCUGAUUUUUUUUAUAGCACACUGAUCGAUAUCUCGGUAAAAUAAUCAUUUUUUUAACUAGCGGGGCAGUGAAAUCUUUGCUUUGUGCUAAAGUCAACAGUGACAGAGUUUGAGCUCAAAUAAAUGCCGUGAUGUCUGGAGCCCUUUGCAGAAGGCACAAGGCGAGCUUCUACAAUGGGUUCCUGUGUGGCUUGCCAACAACCAGUCAAGCACCGGCUGUUUUUGCGCAGAUGCAAAUGGCCUUGGUGUAAAGGAAACUUCCACGGCCAUCACUGUCGUCGCACUUGGCCGUUUCCACGUCUGACCUGUCUACAAUAUGUAAUAUCAGAGCUGUGUCAGAGCUGAGUUGAAUGGGAACAAAAGAGAGGCCUCCAUUAAUGAUUAACUGUUCUAAAAGCCCCGGCUUUUGUAUUCCCAUGGAGCCUGGGCUAUCUGGCCGCCAUGUGACAUGCUCACAGCGUUUUUCGAGCAGAUUGGGGGAAAGCUAGUGAGCAAACACAGGUGCUUUGGAGCAGCACUGGCGACGCUGUCAGGGACAACCACAAACAAGAGCAGCUAUGCCUGGCUAAAUGAAUCCCCACCCCUCCCAUCAGCGUCAGCGCCCCCACCCCGCACCAUACAGCCCUGCGCUGGCCUGAGCGAACUGUUUGCUAGAGCCAUAUAGUCAUCCCCCCAUUGAGUCCAGUGUCCGCCACAGGCCAGCCUCUACAACUUCUCACAGCCGCCAAAGAAACAAACAAAUAAAAGUGAGGAUGGCCGAGAGCUCCUUUGAGGUGAUGGCAUUUGCUGUGGUCAUGACUAGUGGGAGAGCAAACAAAUUAAUGGUGUUCCAGUUUUCACUUUCCAAACCAAACUAAAUGUCUUUUGGUUCAAGUGGGGCAAUUCCACUGACCCUGGUGUCAAAUGCUGUAUGAGGCCUGCACACUUUUGCUCUCCAAACGUCAAGAGGAGGCAAUAACAAAUUAAACAGGCCUAGAGUAUUGGCUAAUGAAGAAGUAGUAGUAGGUUUGUUUAUGGGUUCUAAAGUCAGACCUGGCUGCAGCACUUAACCUUGUCAUUUGCUCAGCGGGAUGUGAGGGGGAGUAACACAGCCAUGAUAACACAAUCAGAUCACAUCACGCUUUAUCUUAAAAUGGCUUUUCCGCUCACAGACAAAUGAACAGAGGCUGAUAACAGAACAAAGGCUCACCUCUGAUUGGCCAUCCUCGCAAAAGAAAAGAAAAUUAUCAGGCCCGAAAAUUCACAAUAGCCAACAUUUAUGCCAGUUACUAUUUUCAACUCUGUGAAACAAAUAUUUGGAUUGUCUUUAGCAAAUGGGGGUUUCUAAGAUAUGACCGGACACCUAUAAAGCAACUACUAUCACUGGAAAGAUGAUAAAAAUAUUUCAAAACAAACAACUUGAAUCAACAGGAGAGGAAAUUAAGCUGUAAAGGCGAAUGAGUAAUAUAUUGACAAUACAGAAGGGAAAAUGUGGCAGAGAUGAGGGCCAGAAGUUUGGGGCAAAUUGAAAGCACUUUUGGUGACUUCUGCAGCCCAAUUCUGAGAGUCAGAGAGAGCCGUGUGUGUUCAGGGAUUCAGUCUGCGCUUUGUUUGCUCACCUAAAAAAAAAAAGGAUUGGAAAAAGUGUGAUAUGGACCACUAUCUUCAAUGUGAAAUAAAAUUAUUAAAGAAAGAA